UCCGGUUUGACACCGGCAGUCCCGUUAGAGUGCUCAGCACCCGAAGGCCUGAUGGCAACUAACGGCAGGGGUUUCGCUCGUUAAGGGACUUAACCCGACACUUCACAGCACGAGCUGACGACAGCCAUGCAGCACCUGUGUAUGUUCCACGGCAAGCCGCGUCACUCUGGUUUCUCAGAGCUAAUCCAUACAUGUCAAACCCAGGAUAAGGUUCUUCGCGUUGCUUCGAAUUAAGCCACAUGCUCCACCGCUUGUGUGAGCCCCCGUCAAUUCCUUUGAGUUUUAAUCUUGCGACCGUACUCCCCAGGCGGUGCACUUAAUGUUUUUACGUCGGUCCAGGGGGUGUCAGAACCUCCGAGACCUAGUGCACAUCGUUUACGGCGUGGACUAC
rnacentral:misc_RNA from 1 species